rnacentral:rRNA from 1 species
GAUGAACGCUGGCGGCGUGCCUAAUACAUGCAAGUCGAGCGAACGGACGAGAAGCUUGCUUUUCUGAUGUUAGCGGCGGACGGGUGAGUAACACGUGGAUAACCUACCUAUAAGACUGGGAUAACUUCGGGAAACCGGAGCUAAUACCGGAUAAUAUUUUGAACCGCAUGGUUCAAAAGUGAAAGACGGUCUUGCUGUCACUUAUAGAUGGAUCCGCGCUGCAUUAGCUAGUUGGUAAGGUAACGGCUUACCAAGGCAACGAUGCAUAGCCGACCUGAGAGGGUGAUCGGCCACACUGGAACUGAGACACGGUCCAGACUCCUACGGGAGGCAGCAGUAGGGAAUCUUCCGCAAUGGGCGAAAGCCUGACGGAGCAACGCCGCGUGAGUGAUGAAGGUCUUCGGAUCGUAAAACUCUGUUAUUAGGGAAGAACACAUGUGUAAGUAACUGUGCACAUCUUGACGGUACCUAAUCAGAAAGCCACGGCUAACUACGU